UACAGAGGCCCCAAGCGUUACUGAGAAUCACUGGGCUUAAAGGGCGCGUAGGCGGGUGUGCAAGUCUGCGGUGAAAGCCUCCAGCUUAACUGGAGAAGUGCCGUGGAUACUGCUCAUCUUGAGGAGGGUAGGGGCAUCUGGAACGGUCGGUGGAGCGGUGAAAUGCGUUGAUAUCGACCGGAACUCCGGUGGCGAAGGCGAGGUGCUGGACCCUUUCUGACGCUGAGGCGCGAAAGCCAGGGGAGCAAACGGG
rnacentral:rRNA from 1 species